AUUGAACGCUGGCGGCAGGCCUAACACAUGCAAGUCGAACGCGUGGCGGGCGGGAGUGAAAUGUCUGGGAAACCGUGCGGUGGAGGGGGAUAACCAGUGGAAGGGGGAGAAUAUACCGCAUAACAAGGGGUGUGCCGAGAGGGGAUUAGCGAGUAGGGGGGGAAACGGCUCACCUAGGCGACGAUCCCUAGCUGGUCUGAGAGGAUGACCAGCCACACUGGAACUGAGACACGGUCCAGACUCCUACGGGAGGCAGCAGUGAGGAAUAUUGCACAAUGGGCGCAAGCCUGAUGCAGCCAUGCCGCGUGUAUGAAGAAGGCCUUCGGGUUGUAAAGUACUUUCAGCGAGGAGGCGUUACUCGCAGAAGAAGCACCGGCUAACUCCGUGCCAGCAGCCGCGGUAAUAC
rnacentral:rRNA from 1 species